GACAGUCUCAGGUAGACAGUUUCUAUGGGGCGUAGGCCUCUCAAAAGGUAACGGAGGCGUGCAAAGGUUUCCUCAGGCCGGACGGAGAUUGGCCCUUGAGUGCAAAGGCAGAAGGGAGCUUGACUAUAAGACCCACCCUUCGAGCAGGGAUGAAAGUCGGCCUUAGUGAUCCGACGGUGCUGAGUGGAAGGGCCGUCGCUCAACGGAUAAAAGUUAUCUAGGGAUAACAGGCUGAUCUUCCCUACGAGCUCACAUCGACGGGAAAGUUUGGCACCUCGAUGUCGGCUCUUCGCCACCUGGGGCUGUAGUAUGUUCCAAG
rnacentral:ncRNA from 1 species